rnacentral:rRNA from 1 species
AUACGGAGGGUGCAAGCGUUAAUCGGAAUUACUGGGCGUAAAGGGCGCGUAGGCGGUCUAUCAAGUCAGGUGUGAAAUCCCACGGCUCAACCGUGGAGGUGCAUCUGAAACUGAUAGACUUGAGUAUGGGAGAGGAAAGUGGAAUUCCCGGUGUAGAGGUGAAAUUCGUAGAUAUCGGGAGGAACACCAGUGGCGAAGGCGACUUUCUGGACCAAUACUGACGCUGAGGCGCGAAAGCGUGGGGAGCAAACAGGAUUAGAAACCCCAGUAGUCC